AGAGUUUGAUCAUGGCUCAGAUUGAACGCUGGCGGAAUGCUUUACACAUGCAAGUCGAACGGCAGCACGGACUUCGGUCUGGUGGCGAGUGGCGAACGGGUGAGUAAUAUAUCGGAACGUGCCCAGUCGUGGGGGAUAACGUAGUGAAAAUUACGCUAAUACCGCAUACGAUCUAAGGAUGAAAGCGGGGGAUCGCAAGACCUCGCGCGAUUGGAGCGGCCGAUAUCAGAUUAGGUAGUUGGUGAGGUAAAGGCUCACCAAGCCAACGAUCUGUAGCUGGUCUGAGAGGACGACCAGCCACACUGGAACUGAGACACGGUCCAGACUCCUACGGGAGGCAGCAGUGGGGAAUUUUGGACAAUGGACGCAAGUCUGAUCCAGCCAUUCCGCGUGCAGGACGAAGGCCUUCGGGUUGUAAACUGCUUUUGUACAGAACGAAAAGGUCUCUAUUAAUACUGGGGGCUCAUGACGGUACUGUAAGAAUAAGCACCGGCUAACUACGUGCCAGCAGCCGCGGUAAUACGUAGGGUGCAAGCGUUAAUCGGAAUUACUGGGCGUAAAGCGUGCGCAGGCGGUUAUAUAAGACAGAUGUGAAAUCCCCGGGCUCAACCUGGGAACUGCAUUUGUGACUGUAUGGCUGGAGUGCGGCAGAGGGGGAUGGAAUUCCGCGUGUAGCAGUGAAAUGCGUAGAUAUGCGGAGGAACACCGAUGGCGAAGGCAAUCCCCUGGGCCUGCACUGACGCUCAUGCACGAAAGCGUGGGGAGCAAACAGGAUUAGAUACCCUGGUAGUCC
rnacentral:rRNA from 1 species